AGUGAACGCUGGCGGUAGGCCUAAUACAUGCAAGUCGAACGGCAGCACAGUAAGAGCUUGCUCUUACGGGUGGCGAGUGGCGGACGGGUGAGGAAUACAUCGGAAUCUACUUUUUCGUGGGGGAUAACGUAAGGAAACUUACGCUAAUACCGCAUACGACCUACGGGUGAAAGCAGGGGAUCUUCGGACCUUGCGCGAUUGAAUGAGCCGAUGUCGGAUUAGCUAGUUGGCGGGGUAAAGGCCCACCAAGGCGACGAUCCGUAGCUGGUCUGAGAGGAUGAUCAGCCACACUGGAACUGAGACACGGUCCAGACUCCUACGGGAGGCAGCAGUGGGGAAUAUUGGACAAAGGGCGCAAGCCUGAUCCAGCCAUACCGCGUGGGUGAAGAAGGCCUUCGGGUUGUAAAGCCCUUUUGUUGGGAAAGAGAAGCAGCAGGUUAAUACCCCGCUGUUCUGACGGUACCCAAAGAAUAAGCACCGGCUAACUUCGUG
rnacentral:rRNA from 1 species